rnacentral:rRNA from 1 species
UGAGCUUGAUCCUGGCUCAGGACGAACGCUGGCGGCGUGCCUAAUACAUGCAAGUCGAGCGCAGGAAGCCGGCGGAUCCCUUCGGGGUGAAGCCGGUGGAAUGAGCGGCGGACGGGUGAGUAACACGUGGGCAACCUACCUUGUAGACUGGGAUAACUCCGGGAAACCGGGGCUAAUACCGGAUGAUCAUUUGGAUCGCAUGAUCCGAAUGUAAAAGUGGGGAUUUAUCCUCACACUGCAAGAUGGGCCCGCGGCGCAUUAGCUAGUUGGUAAGGUAAUGGCUUACCAAGGCGACGAUGCGUAGCCGACCUGAGAGGGUGAUCGGCCACACUGGAACUGAGACACGGUCCAGACUCCUACGGGAGGCAGCAGUAGGGAAUCAUCCGCAAUGGGCGAAAGCCUGACGGUGCAACGCCGCGUGAACGAUGAAGGUUUUCGGAUCGUAAAGUUCUGUUAUGAGGGAAGAACAAGUGCCGUUCGAAUAGGUCGGCACCUUGACGGUACCUCACGAGAAGCCA